AAAUGCCUCUCACUUCCAGGAAACAGGAAGUGGAACAGGAAGAAGUGAAGAACCAGGAAGUAAGAAUAACGGUUCUGGCACAGGAAGUGAAGCACCUGCUAACAGGAAGUAGAGAACCAGGAAGU